CUUACACGAAGCUCUUUUCCUCCAUUACCUCCUUUCAUCUUUAGAAGGCCUACUAGAUGCUGGGGAAACAGUAGGAACAAGACACGGUACCUGCUCAUGGAUCUUUCAGGAAAAUGAAGCAGAUAAUAAGCAGGAAAAAAUGAAGUGCAUGAUCUAAGAAGAAAAUAAACAGGAUGCUGAGGUGCUCCUCUAUGCCUUACUUACUCUGUCAGCUGGAAGUAGGUGAUGACCAGAAUCUGGAGAAGACACAGCCUCAAGAUGGAAGAUCUCAGCGUGGAGGAGAACUGUGUCUCAUCUACCUGAAUAUCUA